UACAGAGGGUGCAAGCGUUACUCGGAAUUACUAGGCGUAAAGGGCAGGUAGGUGGUUUUGUAAGUCUGUUGUGAAAGCUCCUGGCUUAACUGGGAGAGGUCAAUAGAUACUGCAGAACUUGAGUAUAGGAGAGGUUACUGGAAUUCCCGGUGUAGCGGUGAAAUGCGCAGAGAUCGGGAGGAACACCAAUGGCGAAAGCAGGUAACUGGACUAUUACUGACGCUAAGCUGCGAAAGCUAGGGGAGCAAACAGG
rnacentral:rRNA from 1 species